rnacentral:tRNA from 1 species
GCCCCUGUAGCUUAAACACUAAAGCAUUGGUCUUGUAAACCAAAGAUGGACUUUAACUGUCCCAGAGACA